rnacentral:rRNA from 1 species
AGCUUGCUGGGCGGAUGAGUGGCGAACGGGUGAGUAAUACGUGAGUAACCUGCCCUUGACUCUGGGAUAAGCCUGGGAAACUGGGUCUAAUACUGGAUACUACCUCUUACCGCAUGGUGGGUGGUGGAAAGGGUUUUACUGGUUUUGGAUGGGCUCACGGCCUAUCAGCUUGUUGGUGGGGUAAUGGCUCACCAAGGCGACGACGGGUAGCCGGCCUGAGAGGGUGACCGGCCACACUGGGACUGAGACACGGCCCAGACUCCUACGGGAGGCAGCAGUGGGGAAUAUUGCACAAUGGGCGGAAGCCUGAUGCAGCGACGCCGCGUGAGGGAUGACGGCCUUCGGGUUGUAAACCUCUUUCAGUAGGGAAGAAGCGAGAGUGACGGUACCUGCAGAAGAAGCGCCGGCUAACUACGUGCCAGCAGCCGCGGUAAUACGUAGGGCGCAAGCGUUGUCCGGAAUUAUUGGGCGUAAAGAGCUCGUAGGCGGUUUGUCGCGUCUGCUGUGAAAGCCCGGGGCUCAACCCCGGGUCUGCAGUGGGUACGGGCAGACUAGAGUGCAGUAGGGGAGACUGGAAUUCCUGGUGUAGCGGUGAAAUGCGCAGAUAUCAGGAGGAACACCGAUGGCGAAGGCAGGUCUCUGGGCUGUUACUGACGCUGAGGAGCGAAAGCAUGGGGAGCGAACAGGAUUAGAUACCCUGGUAGUCCAUGCCGUAAACGUUGGGCACUAGGUGUGGGGGACAUUCCACGUUUUCCGCGCCGUAGCUAACGCAUUAAGUGCCCCGCCUGGGGAGUACGGCCGCAAGGCUAAAACUCAAAGGAAUUGACGGGGGCCCGCACAAGCGGCGGAGCAUGCGGAUUAAUUCGAUGCAACGCGAAGAACCUUACCAAGGCUUGACAUUCACCGGACCGCCCCAGAGAUGGGGUUUCCCUUCGGGGCUGGUGGACAGGUGGUGCAUGGUUGUCGUCAGCUCGUGUCGUGAGAUGUUGGGUUAAGUCCCGCAACGAGCGCAACCCUCGUUCUAUGUUGCCAGCACGUGAUGGUGGGGACUCAUAGGAGACUGCCGGGGUCAACUCGGAGGAAGGUGGGGAUGACGUCAAAUCAUCAUGCCCCUUAUGUCUUGGGCUUCACGCAUGCUACAAUGGCCGGUACAAAGGGUUGCGAUACUGUGAGGUGGAGCUAAUCCCAAAAAGCCGGUCUCAGUUCGGAUUGAGGUCUGCAACUCGACCUCAUGAAGUCGGAGUCGCUAGUAAUCGCAGAUCAGCAACGCUGCGGUGAAUACGUUCCCGGGCCUUGUACACACCGCCCGUCAAGUCACGAAAGUUGGUAACACCCGAAGCCGGUGGCCUAACCCCUUGUGGGAGGGAGCCGUCGAA